AAAAACCAGUUUCCAUACGAUCACCCAAGUUAAGCAACAUUGAGCCUGGUCAGUACUGAGAUGGGUGACUGCUUAGGAAUACCAGGUGAUGUAAG